GCACAUGGGUUAGUCGAUC
rnacentral:sRNA from 1 species